UACGUAGGGUGCGAGCGUUGUCCGGAAUUAUUGGGCGUAAAGAGCUUGUAGGCGGUCUGUCGCGUCUGCUGUGAAAAUCCGGGGCUCAACCCCGGACUGCAGUGGGUACGGGCAGACUAGAGUGUGGUAGGGGAGACUGGAAUUCCUGGUGUAGCGGUGAAAUGCGCAGAUAUCAGGAGGAACACCGAUGGCGAAGGCAGGCCAU
rnacentral:rRNA from 1 species